rnacentral:rRNA from 1 species
UACGUAGGGAGCGAGCGUUGUCCGGAUUCAUUGGGCGUAAAGAGCUCGUAGGCGGCCUGAUAAGUCGGAUGUGAAACCUCCAGGCUCAACCUGGAGUCGCCAUCCGAUACUGUCAUGGCUAGAGUCCGGUAGGGGCCCACGGAAUUCCUGGUGUAGCGGUGAAAUGCGCAGAUAUCAGGAGGAACACCGGUGGCGAAGGCGGUGGGCUGGGCCGGCACUGACGCUGAGGAGCGAAAGCGUGGGGAGCGAACAGG